rnacentral:rRNA from 1 species
AACUCAAAGGAAUUGACGGGGGCCCGCACAAGCGGCGGAGCAUGUGGAUUAAUUCGAUGCAACGCGAAGAACCUUACCUGGGUUUGACAUACACCGGAAAACCGUAGAGAUACGGUCCCCCUUGUGGUCGGUGUACAGGUGGUGCAUGGCUGUCGUCAGCUCGUGUCGUGAGAUGUUGGGUUAAGUCCCGCAACGAGCGCAACCCUUGUCUUAUGUUGCCAGCACGUAAUGGUGGGGACUCGUAAGAGACUGCCGGGGUCAACUCGGAGGAAGGUGGGGACGACGUCAAGUCAUCAUGCCCCUUAUGUCCAGGGCUUCACACAUACUACAAUGGCCAGUACAGAGGGCUGCGAGACCGUGAGGUGGAGCGAAUCCCUUAAAGCUGGUCUCAGUUCGGAUCGGGGUCUGCAACUCGACCCCGUGAAGUUGGAAUCGCUAGUAAUCGUGGAUCAGCAUGCCACGGUGAAUACGUUCCCGGGCCUU